GCCUACGGGGGGCAGCAGUAGGGAAUCUUCCACAAUGGGCGAAAGCCUGAUGGAGCAACGCCGCGUGGGUGAAGAAGGUCUUCGGAUCGUAAAACCCUGUUGUUAGAGAAGAAAGUGCGUGAGAGUAACUGUUCACGUUUCGACGGUAUCUAACCAGAAAGCCACGGCUAACUACGUGCCAGCAGCCGCGGUAAUACGUAGGUGGCAAGCGUUAUCCGGAUUUAUUGGGCGUAAAGGGAGCGCAGGCGGUCUUUUAAGUUUGAUGUGAAAGCCUUCGGCUUAACCGGAGUAGUGCAUUGGAAACU
rnacentral:rRNA from 1 species